UACGUAGGGUGCAAGCGUUAUCCGGAAUUAUUGGGCGUAAAGAGCUCGUAGGCGGUUUGUCGCGUCUGCUGUGAAAACUGGGGGCUCGAACCCCCAGCCCUGCAGUGGGUGGGGCCAGACUAGAGUGCGGUAGGGGAGAUUGGAAUUCCUGGGUGUAGCGGGUGGAAUGCGCAGAUAUCAGGAGGAACACCGAUGGCGAAGGCAGAUCUCUGGGCCGUAACUGACGCUGAGGAGCGAAAGCAUGGGGAGCGAACAGG
rnacentral:rRNA from 1 species